GCUUAUUUAAUUAUUUUACCAUAGUAUGACAUAUAUAUUGUUGACAAAGUAUCACUAUCAACUGAACUCAGCUCAGAAUCGCUUUUUCGUUAGCAAUGGGAUAUCGUUGCUAACAGACAUACAUUAAAUUACCUACAACAGUGGCUGCACUCGACGCCAUUAUCCUAGGACGUCUUUUUAAGAACUAUUAUUAUUUUUAUAACAAUAAAGAUAUAAUAUUAUACAGUGUAAUUUUUAAACAUAUCCCCCUUUUUUAGAUUCUGGGUGGAACGAAAAAACGUAUGGUUUCAAAAAGAUAUUUAUGUUUUUUUUUUUUUAUCUGUGAACAACUUUUCUUCCAGCAAUUUAAAUCUGAUUUACAGUGAAAACAUUUUUUUUGAAAGGAAAUCUGACUAGGGUGGUACUUUAGGAAAGUUAUUUUUUUAUUUUCCUUAAAGUUUUCUCAAUAUAUUGUAAAAAACGGUAGAAAACGGAAAAUAUACGAAAUAUAUU